rnacentral:rRNA from 1 species
UACGUAGGGGGCAAGCGUUGUCCGGAUUUAUUGGGCGUAAAGAGCGUGUAGGCGGUCCGGUAAGUCCGCUGUGAAAGUCGGGGGCUCAACCCUCGAAUGCCGGUGGAUACUGCCGGGCUAGAGUCCGGAAGAGGCGAGUGGAACUCCUGGUGUAGCGGUGGAAUGCGCAGAUAUCAGGAAGAACACCAGCGGCGAAGGCAGCUCGCUGGGACGGUACUGACGCUGAGACGCGAAAGCGUGGGGAGCGAACAGG